CCUACGGGAGGCAGCAGUGAGGAAUAUUGGUCAAUGGGCGAAAGCCUGACGCAGCGACGCCGCGUGAGGGAUGAAGGUCUUCGGAUCGUAAACCUCUGUCAGCAGGGAAGAACGGUCACUGUGUUAAUCAGCAGUGAAUUGACGGUACCUGCAAAGGAAGCACCGGCUAACUCCGUGCCAGCAGCCGCGGUACUACGGAGGGUGCGAGCGUUAAUCGGAAUUACUGGGCGUAAAGCGCUCGUAGGCGGUAUGUCAAGUCAAGGGUGAAAUCCCCGCGCUCAACGUGGGAACUGUAUUUGAAACUGGCAAACUGGAGUGUGUGAGAGGAUGGUGGAAUUCCAGGUGUAGGAGUGAAAUGCGUAGAUAUCAGGAGGAACAUCAGUGGCGAAGGCGACUAUCUGGCACAUAACUGACGCUGAGGAGCGAAAGCGUGGGUAGCAAACAGGAUUAGAUACCCGGGUAGUC
rnacentral:rRNA from 1 species